AGAGUUUGAUCCUGGCUCAGAUUGAACGCUGGCGGUAUGCUUUACACAUGCAAGUCGAACGGAUUAAGAAGCUUGCUUCUUAGUUAGUGGCGAACGGGUGAGUAAUAUAUCGGAACAUAUCCGGAAGUGGGGGAUAACGUAGCGAAAGUUACGCUAAUACCGCAUAUACCCUGAGGGGGAAAGGAGGGGAUCGCAAGACCUUUCGCUUUCGGAGUGGCCGAUAUCGGAUUAGCUAGAUGGUGAGGUAAAGGCUCACCAUGGCGACGAUCCGUAGCUGGUCUGAGAGGACGACCAGCCACACUGGAACUGAGACACGGUCCAGACUCCUACGGGAGGCAGCAGUGGGGAAUUUUGGACAAUGGGGGCAACCCUGAUCCAGCCAUACCGCGUGAGUGAAGAAGGCCUUCGGGUUGUAAAGCUCUUUCAGCCGGAAAGAAACGGUUACGGCUAAUACCCGUGACUAAUGACGGUACCGGCAGAAGAAGCACCGGCUAACUACGUGCCAGCAGCCGCGGUAAUACGUAGGGUGCGAGCGUUAAUCGGAAUUACUGGGCGUAAAGCGUGCGCAGGCGGUUUUUUAAGCCAGAUGUGAAAUCCCCGGGCUUAACCUGGGAACUGCAUUUGGAACUGGAAGACUAGAGUGUAGCAGAGGGGGGUAGAAUUCCACGUGUAGCAGUGAAAUGCGUAGAUAUGUGGAGGAAUACCGAUGGCGAAGGCAGCCCCCUGGGUUAACACUGACGCUCAUGCACGAAAGCGUGGGGAGCAAACAGGAUUAGAUACCCUGGUAGUCCACGCCCUAAACGAUGUCAACUAGGUGUUGGGGGAGGAGACUUCUUUAGUACCGCAGCUAACGCGUGAAGUUGACCGCCUGGGGAGUACGGUCGCAAGAUUAAAACUCAAAGGAAUUGAC
rnacentral:rRNA from 1 species